AGGCAUUCGAUCGGCUGGUAGGUGCUGAUGUUGUGCUGCAAGAACAACAUGGCACGGGUUCAAAGCCUUAUUCAACUGAGAAAAUUGAUCAGCGUCAUGGUACAAGCGAAGUCUGAAUGGUUUGUUUCCCUGUUUCUUCUGCCUUGGCUGCACCAGCUGUGGAAACCAGACCUGGUGAGGACCCUCUCCUCCAUCCUCAACUAUUGAACCUCUUAUAUCACUCGGAUGAGGUGAUCUGGAUCCAGACUGGAGCUUGUGUAAAUCAUAGUUACCACGGGAUGAAGAUCCCAGCAGAAACAGAGAAACAAAUAGAGACAUCAUAAGCAUAGCUGGACAGACCAGCCUGUGAUCUCCUAAGACACCCAGAUUCACCCCUGGUCACGAUCAUUCCCUCACCUGUGUCUCAUCACAGUCCAUCACCAGUGUCUGCACCCUGCAUAUUGCCAAUAUUAUGGAUUUCUGUUCUGGAGAGAGAUGCCAUUCACAACAUAAUCUCUACACAAUAUCAAACUCAAAUAAUUUAGUCUUGCCAAACAGUUUCCCUGAUUUGUUACUGUUCACAAUGUAGCAUGGUCUUGCCUACCUUUGUCCAUUCAGUUAUUAAAAUGUUUUUAAUAUUUGUAUUGAA